ensembl:lncRNA
GUAGCAUACUGAUGGAGGGGAUAAGGUGUUGGUAGCAUACUGAUGGAGGGGAUAAGGUGUUGGUAGCAUACUGGUGGAGUGGAUCAGGUGUUGGUAGCACACUGGUGGAGUGAAUAAGGUGUUGGUAGCAUACUGGUGGAGGGGAUAAGCUGUUGGUAGCAUACUGGUAGAGGGGAUAAGGUGUUGGUAGCAUACUGGUAGAGGGGAUAAGGUGUUGGUAGCAUACUGAUAAGGAAGAAUAAGGUUCAGCAAGAACAGUGAUGUGUGAGGAAAGGCUAAGGUGUACAUAUUAUAAUGAUGGGGGACGAUAAGGUAAAGGUUUCAUACUGAUAGGUGAGGAUAAGGUGUAGAUAGCAUACUGGUGGGGAGGAUAAG